rnacentral:antisense_RNA from 1 species
ACGCUGACACCGCUCUUUGGUCAUCGUCAGACAAAUCAGUCCCCGCCCAUGCGUUGCCAUAAAAUUAAUCGCUUCUGGUGUAAUAUGCUCAGCGGCAAUAAUCA